GGAUCAGAUUGUCGGUCGUGCCUCGGUACGCACUGGCACUAUUGGUUCCUACCUUCUGAAGAACCGCGAUGUCAUUAAUUUGGUGUCGUGGGGAAUCAGGACUGUUACUUUGAAAAAAUUAAAGUGUUUAAAGCAGGCUCACGCUUGAAUACAUUAGCAUGGAAUAACGGAAUAGGACGUUUGAUUCUAUUUUGUUGGUUUCUAGGAUCACCGUA
rnacentral:rRNA from 1 species